UGGCCCAAUGGUGUGAAAGUAUUUCACAUCAAAGAUUGUGAUUAAUCUAAUUCUGUACAUCUGAGGUUGAAU
rnacentral:snoRNA from 1 species